GCAAGGUUUUCAACAUCCACAAGAGUCUGUGGCCCAAUGAGUGAGGGGUUGAUAGAAAUUUUAGC
rnacentral:snoRNA from 1 species